GUUCGGGUACAGUCCAAAUUAACAGCAAACCUCGGUUUCUCUCGGUCUCUGUCUCUGCUUCUUCUCCAAUCUCGAUUGAUGUUUGUUUAGAUUUAUUUUAGGGGAGAGGGUCAUUUCGUGCUUGGAGAUAGAAAGGUCUAUGCGUGCGUGCUAUGAUGUUGAUCAUGAAAAUUGAAAUUUGAAGAAUAUUAUAAUCAUGACGGGCACCAACAUUAUGAUAUGAAAAAAAGGGAAUAAUAUAGGAUGGUUCAGGAAUAAUCUUCUAAUUUUUUCUUUCUAUAAAAGAUUGAGAGACGUUUACCUUUUGGGGCGGCAUGGUUAGUAGUGGUAGUGGUGUUACACACCUUUUCUAAUAUCCCUCUCAAUGUUUGUAUUUUAGUUUUUCUGUUAUUUUAUUUUUGUAUUUCCCUUUUUUUUAGUUUUAUUGAUUUCUUGCAUAUCUUCUUAUGUUUUCUAUUAUGCCAAGCGGAAGGCACAAUUAACAUUAGAUAGUGGUCAUAAAGAUCGAUUUGCUAUUUUGUUAGAAAGGCAUACUGUUUAUUUUGUUUGACUUCUAAUUUUUGUGGAUUAUAAAAAUCAUCGAUGCUGUUGAAGUC